rnacentral:rRNA from 1 species
AUGCGUUGUUGGGUAGGGGAGCGUUCUGUAAGCCUGUGAAGGUGUGCUGUGAGGCAUGCUGGAGGUAUCAGAAGUGCGAAUGCUGACAUAAGUAACGAUAAAGCGGGUGAAAAGCCCGCUCGCCGGAAGACCAAGGGUUCCUGUCCAACGUUAAUCGGGGCAGGGUGAGUCGACCCCUAAGGCGAGGCCGAAAGGCGUAGUCGAUGGGAAACAGGUUAAUAUUCCUGUACUUGGUGUUACUGCGAAGGGGGGACGGAGAAGGCUAUGUUGGCCGGGCGACGGUUGUCCCGGUUUAAGCGUGUAGGCUGGUUUUCCAGGCAAAUCCGGAAAAUCAAGGCUGAGGCGUGAUGACGAGGCACUACGGUGCUGAAGCAACAAAUGCCCUGCUUCCAGGAAAAGCCUCUAAGCAUCAGGUAACAUCAAAUCGUACCCCAAACCGACACAGGUGGUCAGGUAGAGAAUACCAAGGCGCUUGAGAGAACUCGGGUGAAGGAACUAGGCAAAAUGGUGCCGUAACUUCGGGAGAAGGCACGCUGAUAUGUAGGUGAAGUCCCUCGCGGAUGGAGCUGAAAUCAGUCGAAGAUACCAGCUGGCUGCAACUGUUUAUUAAAAACACAGCACUGUGCAAACACGAAAGUGGACGUAUACGGUGUGACGCCUGCCCGGUGCCGGAAGGUUAAUUGAUGGGGUCAGCGCAAGCGAAGCUCUUGAUCGAAGCCCCGGUAAACGGCGGCCGUAACUAUAACGGUCCUAAGGUAGCGAAAUUCCUUGUCGGGUAAGUUCCGACCUGCACGAAUGGCGUAAUGAUGGCCAGGCUGUCUCCACCCGAGACUCAGUGAAAUUGAACUCGCUGUGAAGAUGCAGUGUACCCGCGGCAAGACGGAAAGACCCCGUGAACCUUUACUAUAGCUUGACACUGAACAUUGAGCCUUGAUGUGUAGGAUAGGUGGGAGGCUUUGAAGUGUGGACGCCAGUCUGCAUGGAGCCGGCCUUGAAAUACCACCCUUUAAUGUUUGAUGUUCUAACGUUGACCCGUGAUCCGGGUUGCGGACAGUGUCUGGUGGGUAGUUUGACUGGGGCGGUCUCCUCCUAAAGAGUAACGGAGGAGCACGAAGGUUGGCUAAUCCUGGUCGGACAUCAGGAGGUUAGUGCAAUGGCAUAAGCCAGCUUGACUGCGAGCGUGACGGCGCGAGCAGGUGCGAAAGCAGGUCAUAGUGAUCCGGUGGUUCUGAAUGGAAGGGCCAUCGCUCAACGGAUAAAAGGUACUCCGGGGAUAACAGGCUGAUACCGCCCAAGAGUUCAUAUCGACGGCGGUGUUUGGCACCUCGAUGUCGGCUCAUCAC